rnacentral:tRNA from 1 species
UCACAUGUAAGCAUAAUUGGUACUGCAAACGGCUGUUAACCGUUCUUCCGAAAGGUCUUGUUGGUUCGAGUCCAACCGUGUGAGCCA